rnacentral:lncRNA from 1 species
GGAAAGGGAAGCGAGAAAUGGGGGUUGAGAUGGUAUGAACAGAAAAAGGUUAGAGGAAAGAGAAGUUUAAUGGGGACUUUGGGUUGAGGAAGUGGACCAUAUAUACAUAUAUUAGUAGAUGUGGGAUCAGUGAGGAAUGAUGGGAGGGAAAAAAUGGGGGAUAAAGGGGUUAGAGAUCAGGGGAAAUGGAAAUGAAGAGAAGAGUUGGAGGUGUUAAGGGAAGACGAAGAAGACGAAGAAGACGAAGAAGAAAUGGUUUUAAGCGCGUUCAAAACGCGGGACGCUAUUGGUAGGUGAAAUGUCUAAAUUACCCCUUUAUAACAACUCUUUGCUUUUGAUUUUGAAAAUUCGAUCGUCGUUUUAUGUCUUUUGGGAUUUUGGUUAUUAUUUGAUUUCCAUUUUAAAUUUAAAUUUGGACUUUGGUAGCUCAAGAGGUCAACCUUAGUGAUGCAAACAUAACUCAUAAUUUUAUUUAUAUAUCCACUCUUCUUUUUAUAUACACUACAAAUCUCAAGGUUUUAUUAAAAAUAUAAAACAAGUUUUUUUCAAACUAAACUUAUAACUUUUUUUUCUUUUUUUAUAUUUAUAAGCAUAUACCUGUCUAUUGUUGCAUACUUGAGAAAAAAAUAUUUUUCAAUUAGCAUAGUAGACUUUAUAUAGUGAAUUAAAUUUGUAGAAUUAGCAUAGUAAACUUUACAAUUCUUUUUUAUUUAUUUUUAACAUUGACAACUAGAAAUGAACAGAAAAUUGAAUCAUUGUUGGUUGGUGAAAUUUAUUUAACAAAUUUUUUAAUUUUUUAAUGUUACACUUAGAAUCACUUAAAAUGAAAGGAGCAAAAGCGAAAAUGAUAGACAUCGUUUUUUUUAGGUAUAAUGGUUGGAAUCUUAGCCAAAUUAAAAAAAAAAUAAAACAUUUUUUUUUAGUUUUAAAAAUCUAUCUUGGUUUUAUGAAACUUACAAUUUUUGAAAACUUUGGUAGAAGGUAGAUAAUAAAACAAGGUUGGAAGUGUAUUUGUACGGUUAAUUUUCAAAACAAAAACAGAAAAUUGAGGGGUUCGUAUAUAAAGAGCCUUACAAUAAGCCUAUAUUACAUAAAUGUUUUAAGUUUUCAACUUUUGAUUGAUGUUAGUGAUCAUUUAACAAUUUUAACAACUUCAAAAAUGGAAAAGUCCCACGGACCUUAAAAUAUAAAAAAUGACCUAGUCAGCACGAGAUUAAUUGGCACACACACGUAAUAUAAUUGGCUACAUCUAUUAUUUCUUCUUCUUCCUCCUUUUUUAUUUUUAUUUUUUUUGUAAAAAAAAGGUAAUGUGAUUUAAUUAGGGACGAGGGAAUUUGAACCAAUGAUCUUUUAUCCUCUGGAACAUGAAGGUGGCAGCUGAGCUCAUGUUUUUCUCCUUCUCGAUAGGUGGUUGCAAACAAAAGGUGGGGUAUAGGCGAAGCUCAUGAUGGGUUAUAAGAUGAAGAUUUUAGAACCAUUCUUUUAUUAGUCAUUCAUCAGUUGACGACAUGGAUUCUAGACGAGAUGAAAAUGGGAAGAAGAAGAGAUGAAGAUAGAGAGAUCUUGGACACACACCCUAAGGAAUAAAUGUACACAUACAAUAUACAUAAUUAUCAUAAACGAUGGUAGUUGUUGUCGUAAAACCAAUUGUAUUUGAGUAUAUAUCAAAUAUACUUUCAUUUGAAUAUUUCCAAAACACUCGAAUAUUU